rnacentral:tRNA from 3 species
GGCUAGGUAGCUCAGCUGGUUAGAGCGCUGGUCUCAUAAGCCGGAGGUCGAGGGUUCGAGUCCCUCUCUCGCCACCA